GCAACUCGCCUACACGAAGCUGGAAUCGCUAGUAAUCGCGGAUCAGCACGCCGCGGUGAAUCGUUCCCGGGCCUUGUACACACCGCCCGUCACACCAUGAGAGUCUGUAACACCCAAAGCCGGUGGGAUAACCUUUAUAGGAGUCAGCCGUNUAAGGUAGGACAGAUGAUUAGGGUGAAGUCGUAACAAGGUAGC
rnacentral:rRNA from 1 species